rnacentral:tRNA from 1 species
GGGUGAGUAGCUCAACGGGAGAGCAGUGGACUCUUAAUCCAUUGGUUCCGGGUUCAAAUCCCAGGUCACCCA